GACGAACGCUGGCGGCGUGCCUAAUACAUGCAAGUCGAACGCUUCUUUCCUCCCGAGUGCUUGCACUCUAUUGGAAAGGGGAGUGGCGGCCCGUUGAGUAACACGUGGGUAACCUACCCAUCAGAGGGGGAUAACACUUGGAAACAGGUGCUAAUACCGCACAACAGUUUAUGCCGCAUGGCAUUUGAGUGAUAGGCGCUUUCGGGUCUCGCUGAUGGAUGGACCCGCGGUGCAUUAGCUAGUUGGUGAGGUAACGGGCUACCAAGGCCACGAUGCAUAGCCGACCUGAGAGGGUGAUCGGCCACACGGGGACUGAGACACGGCCCAGACUCCUACGGGAGGCAGCAGUAGGGAAUCUUCGGCAAUGGACGAAAGUCUGACCGAGCAACGCCGCGUGAGUGAAGAAGGUGUUCGGAUCGUAAAACUCUGUUGUUAGAGAAGAACAAGGACGUUAGUAACUGAACGUCCCCUGACGGUAUCGAACCAGAAAGCCACGGCUAACUACGUG
rnacentral:rRNA from 1 species